GGUAACCUGCUGGGGUUCCCUUCCACGCUGUGGGAGGUUUGUUCUUUCGCUCUUUGCAAUAAUUCUUGCUGCUGCUCACUCCUUGGGUCCACACUGCCUUUAUGAGCUGUAACACUCACUGUGAAGGUCUGCAGCUUCAGUCCUGAAGCCAGCGAGACCACGAGCCCACCAGAAGGAACGAACGACUGCAGACGUGCCGCCUUAAGAGCUAUAACACUCACCUCGAAGAUCCGCAGCUUCACUCCUGAGCCAGCGAGACCAAGAACCCACCAGAAGGAAGAAACUGCCAACACAUCCGAACAUCAGAAGGAACGAGCUCCAGACACGCAGCCUUUAAGAACUGUAACACUCACUGCGAGGGUUCGCGGCUUCAUUCUUGAAGUCAGUGAGACCAAGAACCCACCAAUUCCGGACCCACUGGCAUUACAGGCGUGAAUCACUGUGUCUGGCCAAAAAGGAUCUAAUCUUAUAGCAGUGGAAUGAGGGGGAAGCCCAGCAAGGCCCAUCUGUUUGGAGUCUUCCUGGACUUCUGGGGCCUGACCCUUUUGGAACGGGGGUUUUAAGAUUCAUAAUCGACAAAUGGGUUCUUGAUAUGUUGCCCAGGCUGAGAGUUUCGUUAUGGCCAGCUGUGACACAGAAAGGAGAGAAUAGGAGGAAAAAGAAACUCGCUGAGGCUGUUCCAAACAGGAAACCGACUAUGCUGUCUAUUAAUCUCCAUUCUCCUUUGAGUGACUUUUCUUUCUUUAUUUAAAGAUUUAUUUCCAGUCAUAUGCCUGUGUUUUCAUAGCCAUUAGGAUAGGGAAUUAUAAGAAGAAAUAGACACGGAUAAGAAAGAAAGGCAAGGAGUUUUAUGUGUGGAUGAGUUUAAUAAAUAUUAAGAGCAAAACAGAUUUUUAAAAGGCAUCCUUUACAAAUGUGCAUA
rnacentral:lncRNA from 10 species